rnacentral:rRNA from 1 species
AGUAUGUGGCUUAAUUCGAUGCUACGCGUAGAACCUUACCUGGCCUUGACAUGCAUUGUGUCGUCGUUGUAAGCCGGCUAGUCCUGGUUACAGGACGCUUUGCACAGGUGCUGCAUGGCUGUCGUCAGCUCGUGUCGUGAGAUGUUGGGUUAAGUCCCGCAACGAGCGCAUACCCUUGUGGUCAGUUACUAACCGGCUUAGCACGGAGGACUCUGGCCAGACUGCCCUGUCAAACGGGGAGGAAGGUGGGGACGACGUCAAGUCAGUAUGGCCCUUAUGGCCAGGGCUGCACACGUACUACAAUGCCCGGGUACAAUGUGAACCGAUACCGCCGAAGCUGGAGGAAAUCGCUCUUUGAAAACCGGGCCCAGUUCGGAUUGGAGUCUGCAACUCGACUCCAUGAAGUCGGAAUCGCUAGUAAUGGCGUAUCAGCAACGACGCCGUGUUACGUUCCCGGGUCUUGUACACACCGCCCGUCACAUCAUGGAGUCUCCUGUACCCGAAGCACGUGCGC